UACGUAGGGUCCGAGCGUUGUCCGGAUUUAUUGGGCGUAAAGAGCUCGUAGGCGGCCUGUUGCGUCGGUUGUGAAAGCCCGGGGCUUAACCCCGGGUCUGCAGUCGAUACGGGCAGGCUAGAGUUCGGUAGGGGAGAUCGGAAUUCCUGGUGUAGCGGUGAAAUGCGCAGAUAUCAGGAGGAACACCGGUGGCGAAGGCGGAUCUCUGGGCCGAUACUGACGCUGAGGAGCGAAAGCGUGGGGAGCGAACGGG
rnacentral:rRNA from 1 species